UGAGGAAUAUUGCGCAAUGGCCGAAAGGCUGACGCAGCGACGCCGCGUGAGGGAUGAAGUCCGUUAGGAUGUAAACCUCUUUUGCAGGGGAUGAAUGUCCCGUUUGACGGGAUUGACAGUACCCUGCGAAUAAGGAUCGGCUAACUACGUGCCAGCAGCCGCGGUAAUACGUAGGAUCCGAGCGUUGUCCGGAAUUACUGGGUGUAAAGGGCGUGUAGGUGGGUUCCUAAGUCGAUGGUGAAAUCCUGCAGCUUAACUGCAGAACUGCCUUCGAUACUGGGGAUCUUGAGUGCGGCAGAGGGAGAUGGAAUUCAUGGUGUAGCGGUGAAAUGUGUAGAUAUCAUGAAGAACACCGGUAGCGAAGGCGGUCUCCUGGUCCGCAACUGACACUGAGGCGCGAAAGCGUGGGGAGCAAACAGGAUUAGAUACCCUGGUAGUCCACGCGGUAAACGAUGAGCACUAGACGUUGGCGGGGUUAACCCGUCGGUGUCGUAGCUAACGUGGUAAGUGCUCCGCCUGGGGAGUACGGCCGCAAGGUUG
rnacentral:rRNA from 1 species